GUAUCAGUGAUGUUGAAAAACCUUCUUAUUUUGCUCUCUAGGAGCUAAGAACUUUUCAGCAAGAAAGGUCAUCUUUUGUAGAACUUGUUAACAACUGUUACAUUUCCUAAUGGGGUAAAAACUAUAUAGGAUUUCUUAAAAGUAUGCUGAGCCUCCUAAUGAUAACUUCAAAUGCUAAAGAGUGGAUCAUCUUUCAGGGCAAAAAUGUUUCUCAU